rnacentral:miRNA from 1 species
AACGAGGGGUAUUCCACAAAAAAUUACCCUGAGGGAUGAAAUAUUCCGAGGGCGAAGCCCGAGGAAUAUUUCAUCCCGCAGGGUAAUUUUUUAUGGAAUACCCCGA